GAUGAACGCUGGCGGCGUGCUUAACACAUGCAAGUCGAACGAGAAGUGAAGACGGAAACCUUCGGGCGGAAGGCUUUAUUUCGAGUGGCGGACGGGUGAGUAACGCGUGGGUAACCUGCCUCAUACAGGGGGAUAACAGUUGGAAACGACUGUUAAUACCGCAUAAGACCACAGCACCGCAUGGUGCGGGGGUAAAAACUCCGGUGGUAUGAGAUGGACCCGCGUUCGAUUAGCCAGUUGGCGGGGUAACGGCCCACCAAAGCGACGAUCGAUAGCCGAUCUGAGAGGAUGACCGGCCACAUUGGGACUGAGACACGGCCCAAACUCCUACGGGAGGCAGCAGUGGGGAAUAUUGCACAAUGGGGGAAACCCUGAUGCAGCGACGCCGCGUGAGUGAAGAAGUAUUUCGGUAUGUAAAGCUCUAUCAGCAGGGAAGAAAAUGACGGUACCUAAGUAAGAAGCCCCGGCUAACUACGUG
rnacentral:rRNA from 1 species